GCGUCUUGGUUAUUGAUGUUAAGUGCUUGCAUUUAAUUGAUUUAACAUUGAGACGAGUGGCGAACUGGUGAGUAACACGUGGGUAACCUGCCCUUGAAGUAGGGGAUAACACUUGGAAACAGGUGCUAAUACCGUAUAACAACCAAAACCACCUGGUUUUGGUUUAAAAGAUGGCUUCGGCUAUCACUUUAGGAUGGACCCGCGGCGUAUUAGCUUGUUGGUAAGGUAACGGCCUACCAAGGCAAUGAUACGUAGCCGACCUGAGAGGGUAAUCGGCCACAUUGGGACUGAGACACGGCCCAAACUCCUACGGGAGGCAGCAGUAGGGAAUCUUCCACAAUGGACGAAAGUCUGAUGGAGCAACGCCGCGUGAGUGAUGAAGGGUUUCGGCUCGUAAAACUCUGUUGUUGGAGAAGAACAGGUGUGAGAGUAACUGUUCACAUCUUGACGGCAUCCAACCAGAAAGCCACGGCUAACUACGUGCCAGCAGCCGCGGUAAUACGUAGGUGGCAAGCGUUGUCCGGAUUUAUUGGGCGUAAAGCGAGCGCAGGCGGUUUCUUAGGUCUGAUGUGAAAGCCUUCGGCUUAACCGGAGAAGUGCAUCGGAAACCAGGAGACUUGAGUGCAGAAGAGGACAGUGGAACUCCAUGUGUAGCGGUGAAAUGCGUAGAUAUAUGGAAGAACACCAGUGGCGAAGGCGGCUGUCUGGUCUGUAACUGACGCUGAGGCUCGAAAGCAUGGGUAGCGAACAGGAUUAGAUACCCUGGUAGUCCAUGCCGUAAACGAUGAGUGCUAAGUGUUGGAGGGUUUCCGCCCUUCAGUACUGCAGCUAACGCAUUAAGCACUCCGCCUGGGGAGUACGACCGCA
rnacentral:rRNA from 1 species